AGAACGACGAAUAAGCACGCCGAUACGAAAAAAAAAUGGGUAACAAACCAAAACACCAAAACGAAAUGUUUCAAGUCAACCACCAUAGUAUUGGUUCUGGACUGGAGAAGCUUCAUUAUAAUUGAUAUGAUACGAGGAUAACCUCCAGCAGUAAGAAAUAUAAAGGCUCACUGCAGUUUUGACUAUGCUCAACAAGUACUGACCCCAUACUAUGCUCAGCAAGUAGGGCCCUUGUAUUUCUGUGAAUCCUCAUGCAGUACAUUACUGCUGUUGGAAGAGGAGCAAACAGUGUGGUAUCUAUGGUCCACCAUCACUUUAAGCAUCAUGGCUAUGGAGAAAAGAAUGUUUCAUUACAUAUGGACAACUAUAGUGGACAAAAUAAGAAAAGUGUUGUAAUAAGCUGGAAUAUGGCUUGUUAUGAUGGGUCUACAUGAUGACUUGGAGUACAACCUGAUUGAGGCCCGGCAUACAGAAUUCAGUCCUGAACAUGUUUAGAAUGUCCUCUGCAUGACCUGGUAUAGUAUUCUUGAAGGAUUAUAACUUCAACACAGAGACGGAAAUUAAUAUUUUUAGGCAGGGGUUUGGCAUGACAGGCAAAUUCACCAACCGUAUUACCAUUCCUGAGUUGGAUGCCAGUCGACAGUGGUACCUGUAUAAUGAAAUAGUGCCCCUUUGCAGCAACAGCAAUGUAUGCUCAUAACCAGCAGUGCCAAAGCCAUUAAAAUUGAGAACUCGAGUCAUUUAAAACGAAGAAUGAAUGGAAAAAAAGUGUUUAACAUUUAAAGUAUUAAAUACAGAGAAAGAGCUCUGAAAUUUUGAUUAAUUUGAAAGUGUUUUUGAUUUUUUGAAGAUGUACUAGACCCAAAUUCCAUAUAUGUGAGGCGUUACGUCAUUUGAGAAAACAUCGAUUAAAGUACGUCACAAAAAAAUGGUGGACGUUACCACGUGUUCGCAGCAAUUAAUGCAUUUCUUGUUUUCAAUAAUACUCUACCUUGCCACAAGAAAAAAAUGAAGUGACAUUUAUAAACAUUUCCGUGUUUUGCAAUUCCGUUUCUUUAAAAAAUUUAAAUGAUUGAUAAUUUAUCGCCCUUUGAAUCGACACGCCAUAAUAAUGUAAACAUCGAAGGUCGCGGAGAAAAUGAAACUACCAAAAACAAUUAUUUGAUGAUUUAUUUCGAUUGUAUAAAGAAUGACAGUUAGCGAAUCUUAAGAUCAACCACUGAGGAUUGUUUGGCUUGAUGCAAUGACCUUAAACAGUGAAAUGAUUUUCCAGGAAAGUCUAUACACAACAAGCUGGAUUUUAUGGGGUGAUGAAAGAACUAUCAAUAUAUAAAUGGGAAUGAAACAGAAGGAAUUAAUAUGUUCUACUGAUCACCCAGCUGAAAUCAUGCCUGUGGAAUAGAGUGCAUGUCACAAAUACUGAUAUGAGCAAAUAACUCCAUACUGC